AUAACGCCGCCCCUGCCUUCGCUUCGGAGGGCCUCGUUUCCCCUAGCGGUGGAGGGGUGAUUCGGUGAUAGAAGUGACGGAGAGGAGUUGAGGAAAGAAGGAAGGAGGGUCUCGCAGAGUUGUCUGAGAGAUGUUUCCCGCCAUGACGGUGUGGAGAUCAAAAAGGUCCAACCGUAUGACAGGCUCUCUGUUUGUGACUUUGCCAUGGAAACAGGAGGAUUAUUUAUCCUUACAGUGCUUUUACAAUAACGUCCCUUUCCUGACUAAACAACAGAGGAAAUAUCAGACACGGCAGAUAAUGAACAGCAGCACUAGGUGGCGCCAGAGUGUCCGGUCUCCUUCAAGUUCAACCCUACAGCUGUCAG